GAUGAACGCUGGCGGCGUGCCUAAUACAUGCAAGUCGAGCGAACAGAGGGGGAGCUGGUUCCUCGGACGAGUGCGGCGGACGGGUGAGUAACGCGUGGAUACCCUCCCUAAAAGGCUGGGAUAACUUCGGGAAGCCGGAGCUAAUACCGGAUAAGAUAUUGAACCGUAUGGUUCACUAGAGAAAGACGGUUUUGCUGCUACUUAUAGGUGGAUCCGCGGCGUAUUAGAUAGUUGGUAAGGUAACGGCAUACCACGGCGACGAUUCGUAGCCGACCUGAGAGGGUGAGCGGCCACACUGAAUCUGAGACGCGGCCCAGACUCCUACGGGAGGCAGGAGUAGAGAAUCCUGCGCAAUGGGCGAAAGUCUGAGGGAGCAACGGCGCGUGAGUGAAGAAUGUCUGCGGAGCGUAAAACUCUGGUAUUAGGAGAGAACAAAUGUGUAAGUAAAUAUGCACGUCUUGACGGUACCUAAUCAGAAAGCAACGGCUAACUACGU
rnacentral:rRNA from 1 species